GAUGAACGCUGGCGGCGUGCCUAAUACAUGCAAGUCGAGCGAACCACUUCGGUGGUGAGCGGCGAACGGGUGAGUAACACGUAGGUGAUCUGCCCAUCAGACGGGGACAACGAUUGGAAACGAUCGCUAAUACCGGAUAGGACGAAAGUUUAAAGGUGCUUCUGGCACCGCUGAUGGAUGAGCCUGCGGCGCAUUAGCUAGUUGGUAGGGUAAAGGCCUACCAAGGCGACGAUGCGUAGCCGACCUGAGAGGGUGAAUGGCCACACUGGGACUGAGACACGGCCCAGACUCCUACGGGAGGCAGCAGUAGGGAAUCUUCGGCAAUGGGCGAAAGCCUGACCGAGCAACGCCGCGUGAAUGAUGAAGGCCUUCGGGUUGUAAAAUUCUGUUAUAAGGGAAGAACGACUUUAGUAGGAAAUGGCUAGAGUGUGACGGUACCUUAUGAGAAAGCCACGGCUAACUGCGUGCCAGCCGCCGCGGUAA
rnacentral:rRNA from 1 species